rnacentral:rRNA from 1 species
AUUGAACGCUGGCGGCAUGCCUAACACAUGCAAGUCGAACGGGAGAAGGGAGCUUGCACCUGGAUUCAGCGGCGGAUGGGUGAGUAAUGCCUAGGAAUCUGCACGGUAGUGGGGGCUAACGUCUGGAAACGGGUGCUAAUACCGCAUACGUCUUGAGGGCGCAAGUGGCGGCUCCUCGGACCUCACGCUAUCAGAUGAGUCUAGGUCGGAUUAGCUAGUUGGUGGGGUAAAGGCCUACUAACGCGAUGAUCCGUAACUGGUCUGCGAGGAUGGUCAGACAGACUGGAUGUGAGGCACGGCCCACACACCUGCGGGGGGCAACGGUGGGGAAUAUUGGACGAUGGGCGAAAGCCUAAUCCUGCCAUGUCGCGGGUGUGAAGAAGGUCUUCGGAUGGUAGAGCGCAUAAAGUUGGGAGGAAGGGCAGUUAGAUAAUACCUUGCUGUAAUGACGGUACCAGCAGAAUAAGCACCGGCUAACUACGUG